UUCGCAAUGCCCGAAAGGGUGACGAAGCGACGCCGCGUGGGUGAGGAAGGCCCUCGGGUUGUAAAGCCCUGUCAGGAGUUAAGAAAUGUAAGUGCGCUAAUAUCGCAUUUAUUUGACGAAGGCUCCAAAGGAAGUCACGGCUAACUCUGUGCCAGCAGCCGCGGUAAUACAGAGGUGGCAAGCGUUGUUCGGAAUUAUUGGGCGUAAAGAGCACGUAGGUGGGUUUGCAAGUCAGAUGUGAAAGCCUUCUGUUCAACAGAAGAAUUGCAUCUGAAACUGCGAGUCUUGAGUGUAGGAGGGGAGAAUGGAACUUCUGGUGGAGCGGUGAAAUGCGUAGAUAUCAGAAGGAACGCCGGCGGCGAAAGCGAUUCUCUGGCCUAUUACUGACACUCAGUGUGCGAAAGCUAGGGGAGCAAACGGGAUUAGAUACCCCGGUAGUCCUAGCCGUAAACGAUGGGCACUAAGUAGAGGGGUUUU
rnacentral:rRNA from 2 species